rnacentral:tRNA from 1 species
GACUUAAAAUCCGUCGAUUUACAAAAUCGUGAGG